GACGAACGCUGGCGGCGUGCUUAACACAUGCAAGUCGAACGGAAAGGCCCCUUUGGGGGUACUCGAGUGGCGAACGGGUGAGUAACACGUGAGUAACCUGCCCUUGACUUCGGGAUAACUUCAGGAAACUGGGGCUAAUACCGGAUAGGAAUCCUUGCUGCAUGGUGGGGGUUGGAAAGCUUCGGCGGUUUUGGAUGGACUCGCGGCUUAUCAGCUUGUUGGUGGGGUAGUGGCUUACCAGGGCUUUGACGGGUAGCCGGCCUGAGAGGGCGACCGGCCACAUUGGGACUGAGAUACGGCCCAGACGCCUACGGGAGGCAGCAGUGGGGAAUAUUGCACAAUGGGCGGAAGCCUGAUGCAGCAACGCCGCGUGCGGGAUGACGGCCUUCGGGUUGUAAACCGCUUUCAGCAGGGGCGAAGCUUGUGGUGACGGUACCUGCAGAAGAAGCACCGGCUAACUACGUG
rnacentral:rRNA from 1 species